CUUUUAAGUUUUUUUACAGAGCAGAUAUGAAAAGCAACAUAAUAAUAUCUAUACAGUGCCACUGCAAUGUUUGUAAAAUAUCAGCUUAUUUAUAUACUGUCCAUACUUGUAGGUUAAAAUGAGUGUAUGUUUGUGUGGGAGGAGCUCAAGGUUUUGUCAACUUCAGUGGAAGAAAUCAAGAAGACAACACUUUCCUUCAUACAGAUCCUGAUAGAAGUCUGAACUCAAACUACAGAAACAUGUUACUCAUCUCAUCCGUUUUCAUUUUUAUCCUCAGUUACUGUGAAUCUAAUGGGAAUGUCAUCAGACCAAACCAGCCAUCUGUAGUUUUAACUGAAGGAAGCAGCACCGCUCUGUCCUGUUCAUAUGAUGGAUCAGCUUACAGUCUCUACUGGUAUCGACAGAAGCCUGGAUCAAAACCAGAGUUUCUGCUGCUGAUUGUGAAGUCUACUAAAACUGUAGUCCCAGCUUCUCCACCUCACCCACAUAUGUCCAUCACACUCCAUGAUAACAAAAGUGUGGAUCUGGAGAUCUCCUCUGCUGCUGUAUCAGACUCUGCAGUGUAUUACUGUGCUCUGAGGCCCACAGUGACAGGAAAACAAACUACACUGUACAAAAACCUUCUUGUUAUUUGCCUGUUGCACAGUCACAUUUCUCUACCAUGAUCUCUGUGAUAUUCCAUCUUUCAUAUGGCAUUUAAAUGUACAUUAUCAAAUGGUAUUUUAUUUUGCUCUAUUUAGCAAGGACGUCCCUAAAGGAUAAUAAAAAAUAAAUAAAUUUGAAAAACUUCAUUUAGGACUAUAAUCAUAAUCAAUACAAAACUGGACUACAAAAUACCAAAACCACCAAUCAACAUCCAAGAAAA